AUGCAUUAUUUGCCAUUGAUUCCAAUAAUACAAAGGGAGCUACUCAAAUGAAGAUGCAAAAAACAUCUUUUUAUAAAGAUGCUUUGUAUAAAAGUGUGAUUUAUUAAUUUGGCCACACUUUAAAUAAAAACAACACUUUUAUAACA